rnacentral:lncRNA from 1 species
GGAAGACUAUGAUCAUACAUCUCAAACAGCUCAGAUACCUGGACGACCGACCUGUGUUCCCAAAGGACAGGGCGUGUGCGGAGGCGUGGGGGACAGCGGGUCCGGAGGGGCGCAGGGAGAGGGAAUCAUGGCAAACAUGAGAGAGAAGGAAGAUCCAGGACAGUCUGGACACCAUGGCAACCAUCAGAGACCAAGCCAUGGAGAAACUGCGACUCAGAGAGCUGCAAGAGAGAGGGGAGUAUGAGACCACUACAACUCCAGAACUUGAGAGCCCCAGUAAAAAGAACCAGAGGCAGAAUCAGAGCCCAGGCUGGGAGGAGAGGAUCCAGGCGUUUGUGGAGAACAGUCUGGAGGCCCAUGAAGAGUUCCUACAGACACAGAGAGAACAGACAGAAAAGGAAGAGCUAGGGAAUGAACAGCCACUGAAGAAGCAGCUAGACAGAGAACAACCAGAAAGAGAGGAUCCGGAGGGAGAUCGGCUAGAGAGAGAGCACCAAGAGGGAGAUCAGCUAGAGAGAGAGCACCAAGAGGGAGAUCAGCUAGAGAGAGAGCACCAAGAGGGAGAUCAGCUAGAGAGAGAGCACCAAGAGGGAGAUCAGCCAGAUUGAGAGCACCAAGUGGGAGAUCAGCCAGAUGGAGAGCAAGCAACAGAAGAAAGCUUAAAGGAAGAAUAGUUAGAGUUAAACCAGUCAAGGAGAGAACAACUACAAAGGCAGCCAAAAAGAGAGAAGUUAGAGAGAGAGCAGUCAGUAUGUGGCCAGCCACAAUCUCAGACAGCUGGGAGAAUUGUAGAGCACGGUCCUGGACCAAUGGUGACUGAGCUAGAGGAGACAGAGGACCUGGAGACCAUCCACCUGGGGCCACGCCCACCACUUCGUAUUGACGUGAGUCAGACUGACCACCAUAGCCAAGCAUUACCAGUCACUAUAAUAGAGUGAUUAUCACACUGUAAUAAUGUUUUGUUAUCUAGUCCCUCUCCAUCAGCGUCUUAUCCAAAAGCAAGGACUGCCUC